rnacentral:rRNA from 1 species
CCUACGGGCGGCUGCAGUGGGGAAUAUAGCACAAUGGGCGCAAGCCUGAUGCAGCCAUGCCGCGUGUGUGAAGAAGGCCUUCGGGUUGUAAAGCACUUUCAGCGGGGAGGAAGGCGGUGAGGUUAAUAACCUCAUCGAUUGACGUUACCCGCAGAAGAAGCACCGGCUAACUCCGUGCCAGCAGCCGCGGUAAUACGGAGGGUGCAAGCGUUAAUCGGAAUUACUGGGCGUAAAGCGCACGCAGGCGGUCUGUCAAGUCGGAUGUGAAAUCCCCGGGCUCAACCUGGGAACUGCAUUCGAAACUGGCAGGCUAGAGUCUUGUAGAGGGGGGUAGAAUUCCAGGUGUAGCGGUGAAAUGCGUAGAGAUCUGGAGGAAUACCGGUGGCGAAGGCGGCCCCCUGGACAAAGACUGACGCUCAGGUGCGAAAGCGUGGGGAGCAAACAGGAUUAGAUACCCCAGUAGUC